AGGUGCCCAUCCUUUCUCUUUCACGUCUGUUUAUAUCAGAUGGGUUUUGGUUAAUUUAUUGUUUGAAGUUGAAUUUCGACUUUUGUUGGGAUUGGGUUUAUAUGGGAAGAAAAGAAGUUGAACCAUUUGGAAUUGUUGAGAUCAUUGGUUUUAUGAGGCCCAGGAUGAGAAACUCAGGUUAUGAAUGGAAUUUUUUUUUUCUUCAAUUUUAGAUAGAUGGGUAGCUGCCUACGGAAUGAGUGGACAUAAAAGUGGCUGCUAAAGCCUUUAUUGGUUUAGGAAUCAAUUGGGUUGUACCGUUGUAUCGUAUGCUAGCAAAUUUUUGUUCUUUAGAUGGAAUCUAUUGGCAGCUUUAACUUGGGAAUGUAUUUUGGUGCAAUCAAGGCAAUUCUGUUAGAAAAUAAAAUGGUAGUGAUGGGUCCAACCUGAUUUACCUAGAAGUUCUUUCCGUUGAAGUUCAUAAUUGAAGGGAGGUGAAUGGUUUUAGUUUCAAUUUUUGUAUAUUAUACCUCUAAAUCUUUUAGGAUUGUCAAUCCCUCUCUUUUGCCAAAAUCAUUGAUCAUGUUUGUGAUGUCAUUAAAUUAGUAUGAUGGUACUAUUUAGUUGAUUUGUUAUUCAGUUACAGAGGAGAAAUUAUUGGCAGGUUUGGUUUGUUCUUGUCAUAUGAACAACACAUCCAAGCAUGUAGUCGCAAGUGUGCUUCACAUUUUUUUUCGUGUUUAUAUCAUAUAUUUUGGAUGGUUAAUCUUCUGCUGUUUGUCAUGUUCUGGUGAACUUGUUGGCUUGUGCUAACCAUAUACAUGCUGCAAUUUUACUAGGUAUUUUGUUUGGAGCACCGAAGCUAUUCUAAACACAGUUGCCCAAAAGCUGACGGAAAGGAUGUUACUGUUGUGAUCUGUCCACUAUGUGCCAAAGGGGUUCGUUUAAAUCCUGAUGAAGACCCAAACAUAUCUUGGGAAACUCAUGUAAAUACUGAAUGUGACCCAUCAAAUUAUGAGAAAGUCACUAAGAAGAGAAAAUGCCCUGUUCGAGGUUGUCGGGAGGUCCUUACAUUCUCAAACACCAUCAAAUGCAGGGAUUGCACCAUAGACCAUUGCUUGAAGCACCGGUUUGGACCUGACCAUGAUUGUCCGGGACCCAAGAAAAUUGAGGUGGGUUUUCAAUUUCUGAGUCUUCUAAAUAGGAGUAGGAAGGAUGAAUCAAAGCCCAACCGAACUCCAGCUGCAUCUUCAACUAAGUGGGCCUCAGCCUUCCGUAAUGCAGCUUCAACUGUUCGGGCCUCAGCUGAAGCGGGUGUGGCAAAGUUGAGUACUGAGAUCAGCCAAGCUUGGCAGACUGCAAAGAAUACUGCAGGCCCAAGCAGCAGUAGUGGGGGGGAUGCAAUUGGGCUGGAGGAGGAAUGCCCACAAUGUGGUGCAAGGUUUUCCUCAGUUACAGUUCUGGUGGAGCAUGUGCAGAAGGUGCAUGAAAGGGGUGGGAACCAAUCGCGUGUCCUGAAGUUGCCUGUAGAUGUAUGCCCCAAAUGUAGUAAAGGCUUUCGUGAUCCCGUGGCACUUGUGGAGCAUGUUGAGAGGGAUCAUGGAGGUACUUCAAAAGCUUAGAAAGUUUUGGCCAUCAAAGCAGCAAAUUCACUUCCAGAUGGCUUAUUAUUGUAUUUCAAAUUUUCAAUUAUGGCUUGCUCUUAUUUAUUUGAGGCUGCAGAAGUGCAAACAACUUUCGAGCAUUGAAUUAAUAUGCAGUGCUUUGAACUAAAACUUUCAAUUCAAAAUGUCUAUAUAAAUUGAUUACAGUCAAACGAAUUCUUUUUUUAUUUUUUCAUCUGGAUGACUGAUUUUUUUUUUCUUUUCCUUCAUUUGAUUGACAAGAGGAU
rnacentral:misc_RNA from 1 species